GACGAACGCUGGCGGCGUGCCUAAUACAUGCAAGUAGAACGCUGAAGAGAGGAGCUUACUCUUCUUGGAUGAGUUGCGAACGGGUGAGUAACGCGUAGGUAACCUGCCUUGUAGCGGGGGAUAACUAUUGGAAACGAUAGCUAAUACCGCAUAACAAUGGAUGACACAUGUCAUUUAUUUGAAAGGAGCAAUUGCUCCACUACAAGAUGGACCUGCGUUGUAUUAGCUAGUAGGUGAGGUAAUGGCUCACCUAGGCGACGAUACAUAGCCGACCUGAGAGGGUGAUCGGCCACACUGGGACUGAGACACGGCCCAGACUCCUACGGGAGGCAGCAGUAGGGAAUCUUCGGCAAUGGGGGCAACCCUGACCGAGCAACGCCGCGUGAGUGAAGAAGGUUUUCGGAUCGUAAAGCUCUGUUGUAAGUCAAGAACGGGUGUGAGAGUGGAAAGUUCACACUGUGACGGUAGCUUACCAGAAAGGGACGGCUAACUACGUG
rnacentral:rRNA from 1 species